rnacentral:rRNA from 1 species
ACGUACUGGCAUCGUCGGUUUCUCCCUUCUGACGAACCAUGAUGUCAUUUAUUUGGUGUCGUGGGGAAUCAGGACUGUUACUUUGAAAAAAUUAGAGUGUUUAAAGCAGGCUCACGCUUGAAUACAUUAGCAUGGAAUAAUGAAAUAGGACGUUUGAUUCUAUUUUGUUGGUUUCUAGGAUCGACGUAAUGAUUAAUAGGGAUAGUUGGGGGCAUUAGUAUUCAAUUGUCAGAGGUGAAAUUCUUGGAUUUAUUGAAGACUAACUACUGCGAAAGCAUUUGCCAAGGAUGUUUUCAUUAAUCAAGAACGAAAGUUAGGGGAUCGAAGACGAUCAGAUACCGUCGUAGUCUUAACCAUAAACUAUGCCGACUAGGGUUCGGAUGAUGUUAAUUUUUUAAUGACUCAUUCGGCGCCUUACG